rnacentral:rRNA from 1 species
AUUGAACGCUGGCGGCAGGCUUAACACAUGCAAGUCGAGCGGGGGAAGGUAGCUUGCUACCGGACCUAGCGGCGGACGGGUGAGUAAUGCUUAGGAAUCUGCCUAUUAGUGGGGGACAACAUCUCGAAAGGGAUGCUAAUACCGCAUACGUCCUACGGGAAAAAGCAGGGGAUCUUCGGUCCUUGCGCUAAUAGAUGACCCUAAGUCAGAUUAGCUAGUUGGUGGGGUAAAGGCCUACCAAGGCGACGAUCUGUAGCGGGUCUGAGAGGAUGAUCCGCCACACUGGGACUGAGACACGGCCCAGACUCCUACGGGAGGCAGCAGUGGGGAAUAUUGGACAAUGGGGGGAACCCUGAUCCAGCCAUGCCGCGUGUGUGAAGAAGGCCUUAUGGUUGUAAAGCACUUUAAGCGAGGAGGAGGCUACUUUAGUUAAUACCUAGAGAUAGUGGACGUUACUCGCAGAAUAAGCACCGGCUAACUCUGUGCCAGCCGCCGCAGUAA